UCUCUCUCCCUUCCUCCCUCUCUCUCCCCGCCCCCCUCACAGUUUGGGGGCCACUUUAACGCCUCCAGCCUUCUUGUGCGUCUCUCUAAGCCAUGAUAUCAGGAUGCUGUUUGUCUCCGCUGGCCUUUCCAUCUGAGUCCAGUGUCCACACUCCUCGAUGUGUCCUCUGCUCAGGAAGGACGCUGCUGUUUUUCUCACCAAGUCCUCCAUCCCUUUGGAGAAGGCCGGCAGCAGAACCUGGUCUUUACCUGCCGUCACCAUCAGAGCAGGCAUCAGCAGCUGAGACACACACACACAGUGACAGACAGACUUUCUUUGUGCAUCUCAGUCCUCUAAAGUGGAAAUAAAAAUCAGUCUUUGAACUUGAA